rnacentral:rRNA from 1 species
GGGUUGUGAGGUUAAGCGACUAAGCGUACACGGUGGAUGCCCUGGCAGUCAGAGGCGAUGAAGGACGUGCUAAUCUGCGAUAAGCGUCGGUGAGGUGAUAUGAACCGUUAUAACCGGCGAUUUCCGAAUGGGGAAACCCAGUGUGUUUCGACACACUAUCAUUAACUGAAUCCAUAGGUUAAUGAGGCGAACCGGGGGAACUGAAACAUCUAAGUACCCCGAGGAAAAGAAAUCAACCGAGAUUCCCCCAGUAGCGGCGAGCGAACGGGGAGCAGCCCAGAGCCUGAAUCAGUGUGUGUGUUAGUGGAAGCGUCUGGAAAGGCGCGCGAUACAGGGUGACAGCCCCGUACACAAAAAUGCACAUACUGUGAGCUCGAUGAGUAGGGCGGGACACGUGGUAUCCUGUCUGAAUAUGGGGGGACCAUCCUCCAAGGCUAAAUACUCCUGACUGACCGAUAGUGAACCAGUACCGUGAGGGAAAGGCGAAAAGAACCCCGGCGAGGGGAGUGAAAAAGAACCUGAAACCGUGUACGUACAAGCAGUGGGAGCCUCUUAAUGGGGUGACUGCGUACCUUUUGUAUAAUGGGUCAGCGACUUAUAUUCUGUAGCAAGGUUAACCGAAUAGGGGAGCCGAAGGGAAACCGAGUCUUAACUGGGCGUUAAGUUGCAGGGUAUAGACCCGAAACCCGGUGAUCUAGCCAUGGGCAGGUUGAAGGUUGGGUAACACUAACUGGAGGACCGAACCGACUAAUGUUGAAAAAUUAGCGGAUGACUUGUGGCUGGGGGUGAAAGGCCAAUCAAACCGGGAGAUAGCUGGUUCUCCCCGAAAGCUAUUUAGGUAGCGCCUCGUGAAUUCAUCUCCGGGGGUAGAGCACUGUUUCGGCAAGGGGGUCAUCCCGACUUACCAACCCGAUGCAAACUGCGAAUACCGGAGAAUGUUAUCACGGGAGACACACGGCGGGUGCUAACGUCCGUCGUGAAGAGGGAAACAACCCAGACCGCCAGCUAAGGUCCCAAAGUCAUGGUUAAGUGGGAAACGAUGUGGGAAGGCCCAGACAGCCAGGAUGUUGGCUUAGAAGCAGCCAUCAUUUAAAGAAAGCGUAAUAGCUCACUGGUCGAGUCGGCCUGCGCGGAAGAUGUAACGGGGCUAAACCAUGCACCGAAGCUGCGGCAGCGACACUAUGUGUUGUUGGGUAGGGGAGCGUUCUGUAAGCCUGUGAAGGUGUACUGUGAGGUAUGCUGGAGGUAUCAGAAGUGCGAAUGCUGACAUAAGUAACGAUAAAGCGGGUGAAAAGCCCGCUCGCCGGAAGACCAAGGGUUCCUGUCCAACGUUAAUCGGGGCAGGGUGAGUCGACCCCUAAGGCGAGGCCGAAAGGCGUAGUCGAUGGGAAACAGGUUAAUAUUCCUGUACUUGGUGUUACUGCGAAGGGGGGACGGAGAAGGCUAUGUUGGCCGGGCGACGGUUGUCCCGGUUUAAGCGUGUAGGCUGGUUUUCCAGGCAAAUCCGGAAAAUCAAGGCUGAGGCGUGAUGACGAGGCACUACGGUGCUGAAGCAACAAAUGCCCUGCUUCCAGGAAAAGCCUCUAAGCAUCAGGUAACAUCAAAUCGUACCCCAAACCGACACAGGUGGUCAGGUAGAGAAUACCAAGGCGCUUGAGAGAACUCGGGUGAAGGAACUAGGCAAAAUGGUGCCGUAACUUCGGGAGAAGGCACGCUGAUAUGUAGGUGAAGUCCCUCGCGGAUGGAGCUGAAAUCAGUCGAAGAUACCAGCUGGCUGCAACUGUUUAUUAAAAACACAGCACUGUGCAAACACGAAAGUGGACGUAUACGGUGUGACGCCUGCCCGGUGCCGGAAGGUUAAUUGAUGGGGUUAGCGGUAACGCGAAGCUCUUGAUCGAAGCCCCGGUAAACGGCGGCCGUAACUAUAACGGUCCUAAGGUAGCGAAAUUCCUUGUCGGGUAAGUUCCGACCUGCACGAAUGGCGUAAUGAUGGCCAGGCUGUCUCCACCCGAGACUCAGUGAAAUUGAACUCGCUGUGAAGAUGCAGUGUACCCGCGGCAAGACGGAAAGACCCCGUGAACCUUUACUAUAGCUUGACACUGAACAUUGAGCCUUGAUGUGUAGGAUAGGUGGGAGGCUUUGAAGUGUGGACGCCAGUCUGCAUGGAGCCGGCCUUGAAAUACCACCCUUUAAUGUUUGAUGUUCUAACGUUGGCCCCUGAUCGGGGUUGCGGACAGUGUCUGGUGGGUAGUUUGACUGGGGCGGUCUCCUCCUAAAGAGUAACGGAGGAGCACGAAGGUUGGCUAAUCCUGGUCGGACAUCAGGAGGUUAGUGCAAUGGCAUAAGCCA